ACCCUCUCAGGGUCACUCUUGGAGAGUUUCCAGUACUCUACCAGUCACGACUACAGGAGGGAGAGUCAAGCAGAGGCCUACCCAUUCCACACCUAGCUUAAGCAGUGGCUAGUGAGUGGAAGGCAAUAUGCUACAUGU